rnacentral:tRNA from 1 species
GGGCCCGUAGCUCAGUUCGGUUAGAGCAACCGACCAAAGCAACCGGCUCAUAACCGGUUGGUCGGGCGUUCAAAUCGCCCCGGGCCCA